rnacentral:tRNA from 1 species
GGUCUUAUAUUCAUUAUAUGAUUUUUGAUUGCAAAUCUAAAGGUGUUAAAUAAACUAAGGCUU